CACUAUGAUAAGCAAAGAACAGGACAGCACUAAAAUCUUCCACCUCACCCAUAAAUUAUUUGUUGACUAAGGAAAAUGUCUUCCAAUUAACAAAUAUUGUUCGUCAUUGGCAAACAUUGCGACUGGGAGCGCUAACAGAUCGUGAAGUUAGUUGGUGAUGAUCCCACUCCAAUGGAAUGCGUGUGUUCACGUAGUUGCGUGUGGGUGUUGUUUUGAUUGUGGGCAAAGAUUUAAGACAUUACAAUUCUCUGGGGUUUAUGAAUUUUGACCGUGAUCGAUGAUGUCAAUUAAUACAACACUAUGACAGUUGCCGACAGCUCUUCUUACCAAGUUAAGUGCGUGUAUCAAAUUAAUCCUUGAUAUACUGUCUGUAAAUGAUCUCACCAAUUCGCAAUCUGAAUAAUAUCG